CAACAGGGAUUGCCCUAGUAACGGCGAGUGAAGCGGCAACAGCUCAAAUUUGAAAUCUGGCCUCGGCCCGAGUUGUAAUUUGCAGAGGAUGUUUCUGGCGCGGUGCCUUCCGAGUUCCCUGGAACGGGACGCCACAGAGGGUGAGAGCCCCGUAUGGUUGGACACCAAGCCUGUGUGAAACUCCUUCGACGAGUCGAGUAGUUUGGGAAUGCUGCUCAAAAUGGGAGGUAAAUCUCUUCUAAAGCUAAAUACCGGCCAGAGACCGAUAGCGCACAAGUAGAGUGAUCGAAAGAUGAAAAGCACCUUGAAAAGGGGGUUAAACAGUACGUGAAAUUGUUGAAAGGGAAGCGCUCAUGACCAGACUUGUGCCGGGCGGUUCAUCCGGGGUUCUCCCCGGUGCACUCCGCCCGGCUCAGGCCAGCAUCGGUUCUCGUUGGGGGAUAAGAACGGCAGGAACGUGGCCCUCCCUCGGGAGGGUGUUAUAGCCUGCCGUACGAUACCCUGACCGGGGACCGAGGUUCGCGCUCCGCAAGGAUGCUGGCGUAAUGGUCAUCAGCGACCCGUCUUGAAACACGGACCAAGGAGUCGUCCAUUAGAGCGAGCGUUUGGGUGUAAAACCCGCCCGCGUAAUGAAAGUGAAAUUAGGUGAGAGCUUCGGCGCAUCAUCGACCGAUCCUGAUGUUCUCGGAUGGAUUUGAGUAAGAGUUUUAACGGACGGACCCGAAAGACAGUGAACUAUGCUUGUAUAGGGUGAAGCCAGAGGAAACUCUGGUGGAGGCUCGCAGCGGUUCUGACGUGCAAAUCGAUCGUCAAAUAUGAGCAUGGGGGCGAAAGACUAAUCGAACUGUCUAGUA
rnacentral:rRNA from 1 species